AAGCCAGCUCUAAUGGGACGU
rnacentral:misc_RNA from 1 species